UACGGAGGGUGCGAGCGUUGUCCGGAUUUAUUGGGUUUAAAGGGUGCGUAGGCUGGAAGGUCAGUCAGCGGUGAAAAGCUGUCGCUUAACGAUAGUCUUGCCGCAGAUACUUCCUUUCUUGGAUGAGGAGGAGGCCACUGGAACGGAUGGUGUAGCGGUGAAAUGCAUAGAUAUCAUCCAGAACACCGAUUGCGAAGGCAGGUGGCUGUACCUUAAUCGACGCUGAUGCACGAAAGCAUGGGGAGCAAACAGG
rnacentral:rRNA from 1 species